rnacentral:rRNA from 1 species
AAUUUUAAAAAAUGGAACCGUUACAUGUUGGUGUUUGGUUCGAGAGAUAGAAUGGAGUGGAAUUGUUCAUCUCACUUGAUUAGAUAGAUUCACACUGAAUCAGAUUUUGAUAGAAAACUAAUGAAUGCUAGUGAACACUUAUUAUAUCAUUAAGAGGUACAUAUAGACGCUGCAAUACAGGUACACAAGAUCAAAGAACGAGAAUCUAUCAUAAUUAGAGAGCAUAAAAGAUCAUAUGACGCACCACACACACACACCAACAAAAGAUCAGUUCAGGCACCACUGCUAGAAACAACUAUCUGUCGAUAGUGAUGGUCUGCACCAUGAUGGCUGAGUUCACGAGGCUGCACUUCGAGCGCCUUCAGAAAUAAUAGAUUGUGAAGAGGCAAAGGAAGGAGGAGCCGCCGGCAGCAGGUGAGGCCGGGAGGCCGCCGCCGGCCAGUCACGAGCCGCUGCUCCACUCCUCCUUAGCCGCUGCCCGCAGCAAGCAGCUACGGUCGCUCAGAUGUGUCCACGACAGGACGGCCGCUCCUCAUUCUUUGCCUGGAUGUGUGCGCCACGGGAUGGCCGACUGUGAGGAAGAAAGACGAGCGAGAGGGGAGGCGACGGGGAGGUGAGGGACAGCCGGCGCUGGGUCGGGGGAGUGUGGCGGCGCUGAGAUUUGGAGGGCGCGUGCGGGUCGGGGAGGGGGAAGAGACGCAGGUUCCGUUCGUUCCUUAUGGUCCGGU